rnacentral:rRNA from 1 species
GACGGGGUGCAGCAGGCGCGAAAACUUCACACUGCGCGAAAGCGCGAUGAGGGAAUCCCAAGUGUAUGCACGUAAGUGUAUACUGUUUCUAUGUNUAAAAAGCAUAGAGAGUAAGGGCUGGGUAAGACGGGUGCCAGCCGCCGCGGUAAUACCUGCAGCUCAAGUGGUGNCCGCUAUUAUUGGGCCUAAAACGUCCGUAGCCGGUCUUAUAAAUGCCUGGGUAAAUCGUACGGCUUAACCGUACGAAUUCUGGGUAGACUGUAAGACUUGAGACCGGGAGAGGUUAGAGGUACUCCUGGGGUAGAGGUGAAAUUCUGUAAUCCUAGGGGGACCACCAGUGGCGAAGGCGUCUAACUAGAACGGGUCUGACGGUGAGGGACGAAACCCUGGGGCGCAAACCGGAUUAGAUACCCGGGUAGUCCAGGGUGUAAACGCUGCUUGCUUGAUGUUAGUCGGGCUCCGAGCCCGAUUAGUGUCGGAGUGAAGAUGUUAAGCAAGCUGCCUGGAAGUACGUCG